rnacentral:rRNA from 1 species
UACGUAGGGUGCGAGCGUUGCCCGGAUUUAUUGGGCGUAAAGGGCGCGUAGGCGGCCACGCACGUCCGUUGUGAAAUCGCCCGGCUCAACUGGGCGGGGUCAGCGGAUACGGUGUGGCUCGAGCAAGCUAGGGGGCAAUGGAAUUCCCGGUGUAGUGGUGGAAUGCGUAGAUAUCGGGAGGAACACCAGUGGCGAAGGCGGUUGCCUGGAGCUUUGCUGACGCUGAGGCGCGAAAGCGUGGGGAGCGAUCAGG